rnacentral:rRNA from 1 species
AUUGAACGCUGGCGGCAUGCUUUACACAUGCAAGUCGGACGAGUGGCGAACGGGUGAGUAAUAUAUUGGAACGUACCGAGUAAUGGGGGAUAACCAAUCGAAAGAUUGGCUAAUACUGCAUAUUAUUCUAGCGGCCAAUAUCUGAUUAGCUAGUUGGGGGGGUAAAGGCCUACCAAGGCGACGAUCAGUAGCGGGUCUGAGAGGAUGAUCGGCCACACUGGGACUGAGACACGGCCCAGACUCCUACGGGAGGCAGCAGUGGGGAAUUUUGGGCAAUGGACGAAAGCCUGAUCCAGCCAUGCCGCGUGUGUGAAGAAGGCGUUCGGGUUGUAAAAGACUUUUGUUAGGGAAGCGGUAUCUAAAGAGAAAGCACCGGCUAACUACGUGCCAGCAGCCGCGGUAAUAC